GAUGAACGCUAGCGAUAGGCUUAACACAUGCAAGCUCUAGGGGUAACGUGUUGGAAGCUUGCUUCCGAUGACGACGACCGGCGGAUGGGUGCGUAACGCGUAUGCAACUUGCCUCACAGAGGAGAAUAACCCGGAGAAAUCCGGACUAAUGCUCCAUACACUCUUGAGUACGCCUGUACAUGAGAGGAAAAGAUUUAUCGCUGUGAGAUAGGCAUGCGUCCUAUUAGGUAGUUGGUGAGGUAACAGCUCACCAAGCCGACGAUAGGUAGGGGUGCUGAGAGGCAGAUCCCCCACAUUGGGACUGAGACACGGCCCAAACUCCUACGGGAGGCAGCAGUGAGGAAUAUUGGUCAAUGGAGGAAACUCUGAACCAGCCAAGUCGCGUGAAGGAAGAAUGUCCCAAGGAUUGUAAACUUCUUUAGCGAGUGAGUAAGGACUUCCACCUGAUGGGAGUUUGAAAGUAGCUCUAGAAUAAGUAUCGGCUAACUUCGUGCCAGCAGCCGCGGGAAUACGGAGGAUAUCGAGCGUUAUCCGGAUUUAUUGGGUUUAAAGGGUGGCGCCGGUGGUCUUGCAGUCAGUGGUGAAAAGCUGAGGCUCAACCUCAGCCUUGCCGUUGAAACUGUAAGACUUGAGAGUACAUGAUGUGGGCGGAAUGCGUAGUGUAGCGGUGAAAUGCAUAGAUAUUACGCAGAACUCCGAUUGCGAAGGCAGCUCACAAAGGUAUAUCUGACACUGAGGCACGAAAGCGUGGGGAGCGAACAGGAUUAGAUACCCUGGUAGUCCACGCCGUAAACGAUGAUUACUCGAAGUAUGCGAUAUGACAGUAUGCUUCCAAGCGAAAGUGAUAAGUAAUCCACCUGGGGAGUACGCCGGCAACGGUGAAACUCAAAGGAAUUGACGGGGGCCCGCACAAGCGGAGGAACAUGUGGUUUAAUUCGAUGAUACGCGAGGAACCUUACCCGGGAUUGAAAUGUAUGUGAGCCUUUUGGGAAACCGAAAGGGUUCUCUUCGGAGACACAUAUGUAGGUGCUGCAUGGUUGUCGUCAGCUCGUGCCGUGAGGUGUCGGCUUAAGUGCCAUAACGAGCGCAACCCUUAUCGUCAGUUACUAACAGGUAGCGCUGAGGACUCUGGCGAGACUGCCGUCGUAAGGCGAGAGGAAGGUGGGGAUGACGUCAAAUCAGCACGGCCCUUACAUCCGGGGCGACACACGUGUUACAAUGGUAGGGACAGAGAGUAGCCACUCGGUGACGAGGAGCGGAUCUUGAAACCCUAUCUCAGUUCGGAUCGGAGUCUGCAACUCGACUCCGUGAAGCCGGAUUCGCUAGUAAUCGCGCAUCAGCCAUGGCGCGGUGAAUACGUUCCCGGGCCU
rnacentral:rRNA from 1 species